rfam:Terriglobus saanensis SP1PR4, complete genome.
UUGAGCCGGAUGAUGGGAAACUAUCACGUCCGGUUCUAAGGGGAGGGAGUGGCAGCAAUGCCACUUCCUUACCUGAC